UUUUCACAGGACCAUCAGGACUCAGACACAGCUGUGCUCCUGCUCAUGACAGGCUAUCUUCCAUUAGUCUGAUGUUCGCUAAUUAGACCAGCACCUAAACCUGUCACGGUUCACUGUUUCCAAUCUGCAGCAUCUUUACAGCAGAAGCACGUUUAUCUUGAGUCUCCUUUUAGAUGUUGUUACACUCAUCAUCAGGACUGUGUAAUUUGUAAGUGACACACAGGAAAGAAAUACAGCUGCAUAUUUUUCUAUAGUUAAUGGAGUUAUAAAGCAUAACUAGUGAGGAACCUCCUUGUGAAUAAAAAGAAACAUAUGUUUGCAGUGAGAUGGUUCCCUGAACUAAAUAAUUUACAUAUGUAUUCUGCAUUUGUCUUGGUGCUGCAAAUAACCUACGUAUGUGAUCAACAUCUGUCUUAAUGCCAAGGGUCAGGCCUUAUGACUAAUGCUAUUUGGACAUUUCUUCUGUGACACCCACAGUAAAUGCAAGUUACAAUA